UGGCUUAGAGGGUAAAGCAUCUGCCUGCAAUGCAGGAGACCUGGGUUCAAUCCCUG
rnacentral:tRNA from 1 species